UACGUAGGGUGCGGGCGUAAUCGGAAUUACUGGGCGUAAAGCGUGCGCAGGCGGCCUCUUAAGUCAGAUGUGAAAUCCCCGGGCUUAACCUGGGAACUGCGUUUGAAACUGGGAGGCUAGAGUGUGGAAGAGGGGGGUGGAAUUCCACGUGUAGCAGUGAAAUGCGUAGAGAUGUGGAGGAACACCGAUGGCGAAGGCAGCCCCCUGGGUCAACACUGACGCUCAUGCACGAAAGCGUGGGGAGCAAACAGG
rnacentral:rRNA from 1 species